UUAGCGCCACAUAAAACACGCACAAAGGUGUUGUUGCCUCUGUUGCAAAUGGAAGUAUUCUGUAAUAAAUUAAGAGUACUGUAUGUUCACUGUGUUAUUAGGACAUUUAUUUACUAAUAUCCUGGUGCGGUUUAAAAGAAGAAUCAGACUGGCAUAAUAGGAGAUCUGUAAGGAAAAGCAGGCUGGUCAAAGAAGGACUCAUUUCUCCACAAAUACUUGAAGGCUGUUAAAAGAAAAUGCCAAGACAAGAAAAGACUUGGGAGAACAAGAUGACCAAAAGGACUACAUUAGGUUAGAAAGGGUCACUUUCUCUUAAAGUAGGGAGAUCUGUGAAGGAACCAGACUGAGACACAUAUUCACUGCAGCCAUUGGAAGAAACUAUUUCUGCCAACCUUGCCAUCAAUAACAUUUUAGGUGGAAAACCAGAGGAAGUAAGAGCACAGACAUGCUUCACUUCUGAUAAUUCCAACAAUGGGAAAGAAGAUUGCAAAGUGCUUCUGGCAGUUCAGAGAGGACAGGCUGACCAGGAGGAUGGAGACUCCAGCUGAAUU